GAGGAAGCACGUGAAGGGAAGAAAAC
rnacentral:piRNA from 1 species